ACUCCUGCGGGAGGCAGCAGUGGGGAAUUUUGGACAAUGGGCGAAAGCCUGAUCCAGCCAUGCCGCGUGCAGGAUGAAGGCCUUCGGGUUGUAAACUGCUUUUGUACGGAACGAAACGGCCUUUUCUAAUAAAGAGGGCUAAUGACGGUACCGUAAGAAUAAGCACCGGCUAACUACGUGCCAGCAGCCGCGGUAAUACGUAGGGUGCAAGCGUUAAUCGGAAUUACUGGGCGUAAAGCGUGCGCAGGCGGUUAUGUAAGACAGUUGUGAAAUCCCCGGGCUCAACCUGGGAACUGCAUCUGUGACUGCAUAGCUAGAGUACGGUAGAGGGGGAUGGAAUUCCGCGUGUAGCAGUGAAAUGCGUAGAUAUGCGGAGGAACACCGAUGGCGAAGGCAAUCCCCUGGACCUGUACUGACGCUCAUGCACGAAAGCGUGGGGAGCAAACAGGAUUAGAUACCCGUGUAGUCC
rnacentral:rRNA from 1 species